UGGGGAAUAUUGCACAAUGGGCGCAAGCCUGAUGCAGCCAUGCCGCGUGUGUGAGGAAGGCCUUCGGGUUGUAAAGCACUUUCAGCGAGGAGGAAGGUGGUGGACUUAAUACGUUCAUCAAUUGACGUUACUCGCAGAAGAAGCACCGGCUAACUCCGUGCCAGCAGCCGCGGUAAUACGGAGGGUGCAAGCGUUAAUCGGAAUUACUGGGCGUAAAGUGCACGCAGGCGGUUUGUUAAGUCAGAUGUGAAAUCCCCGGGCUCAACCUGGGAACUGCAUUUGAAACUGGCAAGCUAGAGUCUCGUAGAGGGGGGUAGAAUUCCAGGUGUAGCGGUGAAAUGCGUAGAGAUCUGGAGGAAUACCGGUGGCGAAGGCGGCCCCCCUGGACGAAGACUGACGCUCAGGUGCGAAAGCGUGGGGCAGCAAACAGGAUUAGAUACCCUGGUAGUCCAGCGCUGUAAACGAUGUCGAUUUGGAGGUUGUGCCCUUGAGGCGUGGCUUCCGGAGCUAACGCGUUAAAUCGACCGCCUGGGGAGUACGGCCGCAAGGUUAAAAACUCAAAUGAAUUGACGGGGUC
rnacentral:rRNA from 1 species